GAUGAACGCUAGCGGCAGGCUUAAUACAUGCAAGUUGAGGGGCAGCAUGAUAUACGCGAGUAUAUUGAUGGCGACCGGCGGACGGGUGAGUAAUAGGUAGGAGACCUACCUCAUACAGGGGGAUAGCAUAGAGAAAUCUGUGGUAAUACCCCAUGAGGUUAUAUGAAUAGAGGCAUAUAAUCAAAGCAUAAGCGAUUAUGCGGUAUGAGAGGGGCCUACUGACCAUUAGCUAGUUGGUGAGGUAAGGGCUCACCAAGGCGAAGAUGGUUAGGGGUUUUGAGAGAGAGACCCCCCACAUUGGAACUGAGAGACGGUCCAGACUCCUACGGGAGGCAGCAGUAGGGAAUAUUGGGCAAUGGGCGAAAGCCUGACCCAGCCAUGCCGCGUGAAGGAAGACGGCCUUAUGGGUUGUAAACUUCUUUACUACGCGAAUAGAGGUUAGUACGAGAUACUAAUAGGAAGGUAGUGUAGUAAAAAGCACCGGCUAACUCCGUGCC
rnacentral:rRNA from 1 species